GGUUAAGCGACUAAGCGUACACGGUGGAUGCCCUGGCAGUCAGAGGCGAUGAAGGACGUGCUAAUCUGCGAAAAGCGUCGGUAAGGUGAUAUGAACCGUUACAGCCGGCGAUGUCCGAAUGGGGAAACCCAGUGCAAUUCGUUGCACUAUCGUUAACUGAAUACAUAGGUUAACGAGGCGAACCGGGGGAACUGAAACAUCUAAGUACCCCGAGGAAAAGAAAUCAACCGAGAUUCCCCCAGUAGCGGCGAGCGAACGGGGAGCAGCCCAGAGUCUGAAUCAGCUUGUGUGUUAGUGGAACGGUCUGGAAAGUCCGACGGUACAGGGUGAUAGUCCCGUACACCAAAAUGCACAGGUUGUGAACUCGAAGAGUAGGGCGGGACACGUGGUAUCCUGUCUGAAUAUGGGGGGACCAUCCUCCAAGGCUAAAUACUCCUGACUGACCGAUAGUGAACCAGUACCGUGAGGGAAAGGCGAAAAGAACCCCGGCGAGGGGAGUGAAAAAGAACCUGAAACCGUGUACGUACAAGCAGUGGGAGCACCUUCGGGUGUGACUGCGUACCUUUUGUAUAAUGGGUCAGCGACUUAUAUUCUGUAGCAAGGUUAACCGUAUAGGGGAGCCGCAGGGAAACCGAGUCUUAACUGGGCGUUAAGUUGCAGGGUAUAGACCCGAAACCCGGUGAUCUAGCCAUGGGCAGGUUGAAGGUUGGGUAACACUAACUGGAGGACCGAACCGACUAAUGUUGAAAAAUUAGCGGAUGACUUGUGGCUGGGGGUGAAAGGCCAAUCAAACCGGGAGAUAGCUGGUUCUCCCCGAAAGCUAUUUAGGUAGCGCCUCGUGAACUCAUCUUCGGGGGUAGAGCACUGUUUCGGCUAGGGGGUCAUCCCGACUUACCAACCCGAUGCAAACUACGAAUACCGAAGAAUGUUAUCACGGGAGACACACGGCGGGUGCUAACGUCCGUCGUGAAGAGGGAAACAACCCAGACCGCCAGCUAAGGUCCCAAAGUCAUGGUUAAGUGGGAAACGAUGUGGGAAGGCACAGACAGCCAGGAUGUUGGCUUAGAAGCAGCCAUCAUUUAAAGAAAGCGUAAUAGCUCACUGGUCGAGUCGGCCUGCGCGGAAGAUGUAACGGGGCUAAACCAUGCACCGAAGCUGCGGCAGCGACACUAUGUGUUGUUGGGUAGGGGAGCGUUCUGUAAGCCUGCGAAGGUGUGCUGUGAGGCAUGCUGGAGGUAUCAGAAGUGCGAAUGCUGACAUAAGUAACGAUAAAGCGGGUGAAAAGCCCGCUCGCCGGAAGACCAAGGGUUCCUGUCCAACGUUAAUCGGGGCAGGGUGAGUCGACCCCUAAGGCGAGGCCGAAAGGCGUAGUCGAUGGGAAACAGGUUAAUAUUCCUGUACUUGGUGUUACUGCGAAGGGGGGACGGAGAAGGCUAUGUUAGCCGGGCGACGGUUGUCCCGGUUUAAGCAUGUAGGCUGGUUAUCCAGGCAAAUCCGGAUAAUCAAGGCUGAGGUGUGAUGACGAGGCACUACGGUGCUGAAGUAACAAAUGCCCUGCUUCCAGGAAAAGCCUCUAAGCAUCAGGUAACAUCAAAUCGUACCCCAAACCGACACAGGUGGUCAGGUAGAGAAUACCAAGGCGCUUGAGAGAACUCGGGUGAAGGAACUAGGCAAAAUGGUGCCGUAACUUCGGGAGAAGGCACGCUGGUGUGUAGGUGAAGUCCCUGCGGAUGGAGCUGAGACCAGUCGAAGAUACCAGCUGGCUGCAACUGUUUAUUAAAAACACAGCACUGUGCAAACACGAAAGUGGACGUAUACGGUGUGACGCCUGCCCGGUGCCGGAAGGUUAAUUGAUGGGGUUAUCCGUAAGGAGAAGCUCUUGAUCGAAGCCCCGGUAAACGGCGGCCGUAACUAUAACGGUCCUAAGGUAGCGAAAUUCCUUGUCGGGUAAGUUCCGACCUGCACGAAUGGCGUAAUGAUGGCCAGGCUGUCUCCACCCGAGACUCAGUGAAAUUGAACUCGCUGUGAAGAUGCAGUGUACCCGCGGCAAGACGGAAAGACCCCGUGAACCUUUACUAUAGCUUGACACUGAACAUUGAGCCUUGAUGUGUAGGAUAGGUGGGAGGCUUUGAAGCGUGGACGCCAGUCUGCGUGGAGCCAACCUUGAAAUACCACCCUUUAAUGUUUGAUGUUCUAACGUUGGCCCCUGACCGGGGUUGCGGACAGUGUCUGGUGGGUAGUUUGACUGGGGCGGUCUCCUCCCAAAGCGUAACGGAGGAGCACGAAGGUUAGCUAAUCCUGGUCGGACAUCAGGAGGUUAGUGCAAUGGCAUAAGCUAGCUUGACUGCGAGCGUGACGGCGCGAGCAGGUGCGAAAGCAGGUCAUAGUGAUCCGGUGGUUCUGAAUGGAAGGGCCAUCGCUCAACGGAUAAAAGGUACUCCGGGGAUAACAGGCUGAUACCGCCCAAGAGUUCAUAUCGACGGCGGUGUUUGGCACCUCGAUGUCGGCUCAUCACAUCCUGGGGCUGAAGUAGGUCCCAAGGGUAUGGCUGUUCGCCAUUUAAAGUGGUACGCGAGCUGGGUUUAGAACGUCGUGAGACAGUUCGGUCCCUAUCUGCCGUGGGCGCUGGAGAAUUGAGGGGGGCUGCUCCUAGUACGAGAGGACCGGAGUGGACGCAUCACUGGUGUUCGGGUUGUCAUGCCAAUGGCACUGCCCGGUAGCUAAAUGCGGAAGAGAUAAGUGCUGAAAGCAUCUAAGCACGAAACUUGCCCCGAGAUGAGUUCUCCCUGAGACUUUAAGUCUCCUGAAGGAACGUUAAAGACGAUGACGUUGAUAGGCCGGGUGUGUAAGCGCAGCGAUGCGUUGAGCUAACCGGUACUAAUGAACCGUGAGGCUUAACCUU
rnacentral:rRNA from 1 species